rnacentral:rRNA from 1 species
UGCAGUCGACGGCAGCACGGACUAGUUUACUAGUUGGGUGGCGAGUGGCGAACGGGUGAGUAACGCGUAGGAAUAUACCUUGAAGUGGGGGAUAACUUGGGGAAACUCAAGCUAAUACCGCAUGAGCUCUUAGGAGGAAAGCUGGGGACCGUAAGGCCUGGCGCUUUGAGAUUAGCCUGCGUCCGAUUAGCUAGUUGGUGGGGUAAGGGCCUACCAAGGCGACGAUCGGUAGCUGGUCUGAGAGGAUGAUCAGCCACACUGGAACUGAGACACGGUCCAGACUCCUACGGGAGGCAGCAGUGGGGAAUAUUGGACAAUGGGGGCAACCCUGAUCCAGCAAUGCCGCGUGUGUGAAGAAGGCCUGAGGGUUGUAAAGCACUUUCAGUGGGGAGGAGGGCAAUUAGGUUAAGAGCUAGAUUGUUGGACGUUACCCACAGAAGAAGCACCGGCUAACUCCGUGCCAGCAGCCGCGGUAAUACGGAGGGUGCGAGCGUUAAUCGGAAUUACUGGGCGUAAAGGGUGCGUAGGUGGUUUUUUUAAGUUAUCUGUGAAAUUCCUGGGCUCAACCUGGGGGUGGUCAGAUAAGACUGGAAGACUUGAGUGUGGGAGAGGGUAGUGGAAUUUCUGGUGUAGCGGUGAAAUGCGUAGAGAUCGGAAGGAACACCAGUGGCGAAGGCGGCUACCUGGGCUCAACACUGAC